GACUCAACAUUCCAAAUGUGGCCUCUUUAGUACAGCACAGAGCAGUACUAUCACUUCUCAUGAUCUUGAUACUAUCCCUAUUGAACCCAGGAUGCAUUGGUUUUUUGGAAGCUGAAGCAUAGUGCUGGCUCAUACUUAAGUGAUGGCCCACUAGGACACCUAAAUCCCUCUUAUGGUUACUACUAUUAAGCCAGGAGCAGUUAUCUAUGGAAUCCAAAAUGAGUUAUGCAAAGGGAAAAAAAUCCUUUGAGUUUACAAACAAACCAGGGAAACAGUUGGCAUAUAAAUUAAGAAAAGAAAAAGAAAAGAAAAUAAUAUUGAAAAUACAAGAUGGUGAUAUGGUAUUAAUAGAUAACAUGGCCAUGGAAAAAAAGCAUCUCAUCAAUAUUAUUCUAUGAAGCAAGUGACAUCUCUCUGGAGAAAUAGAUGAAUACCUAAAGAGCAAAAUUUACUGAGGAUUACAGAGGAUCAGAAACAGAUUAUGAAUGGACCUAUAACAAUAAGGGAAGUUUCUGAAGCUAUAAAAAAAAGAUUAAAGCAGGAAAAAUACCUGGAUCAGAUGGAUUAUCAGGUUCUUAUUAUAAAUGUUUUGAGGAUGAACUUUUACAAUCUUUAAAAUAAACUCCUUCAGGGAGGAAAGUUGUCAAAGAGCUGGAAAGAGGCAGAUAUCACCCUAAUACCUAAAUAGGAACAGGAUUUGACUUUAACGAGAGACUACAAACUGAUAACAUAAUUGAAUAAUGAUUGUUCACAAUGAUUAUUGCUGAUAGACUGAAAAUAAUUUUGCAAGAAUUUAUUUGUGAGGAUCAAUAUGAAUUUUUUUUUAAUUAAAAGGACAAUGUUAGAAUAUUUGGAUCAACAUAAUGAAAAACAUGCCACAAUGAUUUUCUUAGAUGCAGAGGAGGCCUUUGAUAAUUUGAAUUGGGCUUUCCUGUUCAAAGUUUUGGAAGAUAUGAACUUUGGAGAGGAUUUUACAAAAUGGGGAAGAUUUAUUUACACUUCAAAGAAAGCACAAACGAAACUAAUUUUCAUUUCACAAAGCCUUGUGAAACAAAAAUGAGGCAGGAAUGUUCACUAGCUCCUCUCUUUUUAUGUUGGUUCUUAAAAUACUGAACAUAGGGAUAGGACAUGAGAUAAUUGUGGGAAUAAAGAUUAAAAAAAGAAACUUAUAAGUUAACAUAUUUGUAAAUUAAUCUUAUAAAUUAAGCAAGUGACUUGAGUUGUUUCUGGAAAAUCAUUUAAAGGGAAUUGAAACACUAAUGGGAAAACUAAACUAAUUUGUGAUUAGCAGGUUUUAGAUGAACAAACAUAAGGUAAUGUUAACAAAAACAUGAAAGUACUAGUUCAAACAAAACUGAGGAAUACAAUGAAUGUUAAGAUUGAGAAGAAAGUAAAAUAUCUGGGUAUCACUAUGACAAAUAUGAAUUGCAUGUUAUUUCAAAAUGUGAAGACAUGGAGUGAAGUUAAAAAGAUAUGUUAAGAUGGCAGAAAUUACAAUAGUUGCUGGGGAGAAUUUCUGAUAAAAAUAAAUAUCCUUUCUACAAUAGUGUUUUUGUUCCACAUAAUAUCAAUGUUGAUAAGUGAUGCAACACUUAAAAAUGGCAGAAAGAAAUAUCUAAAUUUGUGUGGUAGGGGGAAAAAACCCAUAAGUUAAAUAUAAGGUGCUACAGGACGCAAUGGAAAAGGGAGGACUGGGUUUACACAAUUUGAAAUUAUAUUUUGCAGCUUGUUAUUUGGUUUGGAUGAAAAAAUGGGCACAGUUGAGAAACAGAAGGGUUUUUUUUGCGUUAGAAGACCAUGGUCUGAAUUUUGGAUAGUAUGGGUAUUUGUAGUAUGACAAAAUCAAGGUUAAUGUGCAUUUUAAAAUGAUAAUGUAAUGUGCCCAUAUCAAGAAUACAGAAUAGAUAGAUAUGUAGGUUGUGCUCAAUGACACCUCUGGGGCUCUCAGCACAAGAAGCAUUUUACAGACAAGAAAUAAUAGCAAAUACAAAUGGCUAAUUUAUUGUGAGAUACUAGAAUUUGUCAAAGGGAAUACAAAAUAAAAUCAAAGAGAAGAACUGAUGGCAAAGGAGAUAGUUGCUAAUAGUUUUCUUAUUUACGGUUAUUAUAAAGCUUUAAAGUAGAGAAAAAAUAUGGUUUUGAACAUAAUAAGAUUGAGUCUGUAAUGGAAUUAGGUAUAAAGAAUUAACAUGUAAUUGUUAAAAAUUACAUUUAACAUGCAAUUUUACCAAUUAUUAAUUAAAAUUUGAAAUAGAAGAUAAAAUGAAAGACUAUAUGAUAAAUUAGGCUAAAUUUUUGAUUAUAAAAUGCAGCUGGAACAAUGGGACUAUAUGUGGAUUGAAAUUGAUGUUUAUAACCUUGAAGAGAAUUUUUACAAAAUGAUUGUUCAUGAAAGAGUCCAUAUAUAUUUAACAAACUUGUUUUAUCCAAAUCCAAUAAACCCUAUCUUGUAUCUGUAAA